rnacentral:rRNA from 1 species
UUUUUGAAAAUAAUUUAAAGUUUAAUCUGCCCACUGAUNAAAUUAUUAAAGGGCUGCAGUAUUUUGACUGUACAAAGGUAGCAUAAUCAUUAGUCUCUUAAUUGGUGACUUGUAUGAAAGAUUGGAUGAAAUAUAUACUGUCUCUAUUUAAUUUAUAAAAUUUAAUUUUUUAGUAAAAAAGCUAAAAUGAAUUUAAAAGACGAGAAGACCCUAUAGAGUUUAAUAAUUUAUUUAAUUAUUAUUAAUGUAUAAAUUUUAAAAUUAAAAUUGAAUAAAUUAUUUUGUUGGGGUGAUAGAAAAAUUAAAUUAACUUUUUUUUUAUUUUAUACAUUAAUUUAUGAAUAAAUGAUCCAUUAAUAAUGAUUAAAAGAAAAAAUUACCUUAGGGAUAACAGCGUAAUUUUUUUUUUUAGUUCAAAUAGGAAAAAAAGUUUGCGACCUCGAUGUUGGAUUAAGAUAAAAAUUAAAUGCAAAAGUUUAAAAUUUUAAUCUGUUCGAUCAUUAAAAUCUUA